GCCCACCCCAUGCACACACUCAGUGGGACAGCGGAGGUCACUUCCAGGCACUGUGGGUGCCUUGCAUGAUGCUCCUUGCUCUGUCCUGUCUGUGGAAAGAGCAGCUUGGAGACAGAAUGCAACCUGGAAGUUCCCUGUUUGAGAGAUUUCUCUCCUUGUGUUGUUAUUUGAUAUGAGAGCGUGGUGACAACCUCUCUGCUGUCUUUCAUAACAUUUCCACACAAUUACCUGUGUGUGACAGGCAGUAUUUUCUCAUAGAUGUGGCUCUUACCAUCCUCAGUGUUAAAAAUUUUCAGGAGAAAAAGGCUAUAUUUUGUAUAAACUUUUAUUCCCUGAAGGAAACUAAUUUAUUUCAAGAACUUGGGAAAUAAAAAAUAAACAUUGAAUUUACUAGCAAUAAAUCCCUCUUACAUACACAUAGGAACUAAUUUUCUCAUAUAUAUAGUUGGCUGAACAUAUCCGUAGGUUCCACAUUCAAAGAUUCAACUAACCUUAGGUCAGAAAUAUUUGAGAGGCUGAGGGUACAGCUAGGUGGAGAGCACAGUACACAUGAGGCCCUAGGUUCAGUGCCCACCACCCAAAGCAAAACAAACAUUUUCUGAGCAUGUCCUGAUCUUUUUCUUGCAAUUAUUCCCACAACAGUACAAUGUAACAAUUACUUACAUGUAGUUGCAUUGUAUUAUGUAUUGAUGUCAUCUAGAGAUGAUCUCAAGUGUACAGGAGGGAGUAUACAGGUCCUUUGUAAAUAGUGUACCAUUUGAUAUGAGGGACUUGAGCAGUCUUUGAUUUUGGUGCCUUGGCGGGCCCUGGAAUGUAUCCUCAUGGACACCGGGAAUGACUGUCUGUAUUUAGCCUCAUCUUUCAGCACUUUACAUGUGAGGACAUGUCUAGCUGUGUAUGUUCCUAUGCACAUUUGCCCAGCGGUUCUGGUUCCUGGCAGGAGAGAGGUCAGAGCAGCCCCAGGACACAGAGUGAAAGUCACCGAGUCUGGGGUCAGACCUUGGCUCUUGCCCACCAGCAGCCCUACCCCACCACACUGCAGUGGUGGUGGUGGUGGGGAGUGCCUGAGGCCCUCCCUAGUGCCAGGCAGGAUGGGGUGCUGGGCACCUGGCACAGCCCCACAGUUCCUCAUGGUGACUCGCAGGACAGCACAGCAGGCCUCACCGGAGACAGGCACCAGGAAGCCAGCUGGGCCUCUCCUUGCGUGGGCGUUGUGUUGCAGCCUGAAAGCCAGUGGUGCCCGGCAGUUCCUCAGACUCCCACAGAUGUGCCUGGUGUACGUGACACUCAAUCCUUCCUCCUGCUAGAUUCAUCACCCGACCUGCCUGCCCUGUGCAGCUGGCUCCAAAGCUUAAUGCCACCAUUCAUUGCCUAGAUCCACUUCCCUCCCACACCUACAAGAUGUGACAACGGGAUUUCCAUGGUUACACCAGCAGCCUUAAUUUCCUAAAGUGUGCACAACAUUUUCAAGCCCAGUCAGUGGUAGAGUAUUUCAAGGAAACACUGAGCUUUAAGUAGCUUCUUUUGAGACCUACUUAGAAUGCUACCACCUAUCUAGAAUAUGACAACAAUUUGAUAGAUCUCAAGAAUAAUUCAUUAGUUCAAUAAAACAUUGGGGGAGUAGAAGUUUUAACUUUUACUUAUAAGACAUUUUAGUGCUUGAGUUGAGGCUUGCUUUCUUCAAUGUGGAAUUUGUAAGCCAACACCAAGAAGAAUUUGGAGACUGAUAUAAGAGAACUGGGUGGGAGGUACAUGUGCACUGUUUUGACAGCUCAGCACAGCUGACUGCAGUUGGGAAGACCCAAGCAGAGUUUUGGGGUCUUCUUAUUGCUGGAAGGGACAGGCCAGAAAGAUACAAUUUGCUGUUCUGAAGUUCUUGGUGGCUUGGGUUUGUGCCCUUCUUUGGAUUACCCUGUUUACAGGGUGCCUGACAGAUUGAGGGAGGUUGUGUUAAGCAGCUGGCAGAAUGUCCUCACUGCUGGCUUUCAGGAUGACAGUCCUUCUAGGAAGUGACUCCUGAAUGUGACAAUCUGUUGGGCUCACUCUUUGGGUCCCCAUAAGGAGCUGAGUGCUCACAUCUGGCAGGUUAAAUUGUUGCCAAUAUGAGAAGAGGCCAACAGAAAUAGAAAGAUGAAGGAUGUGAGAUGGGGACUCACAGAUUUGCCUUAUAGAAAAGUCUAGAAGACAGUCUGUUCAAAACCAAGGUGCUCUGCACAGUGAGGACUAAGACUGAUCUAGAAGGCGAGGUAUUUCUGUCCAGGUUGGGUGGGAGCUGAGAUGGCACAGAAGCCCUGGUGACAGUGAGCUCGGGGUAAAGUGCACAGAGCAGGGUAGCGGAGAGGCUGGGAGUCCACUUUGAUGCCUCCUUUUACUGGCUCUGCUUGGCAGCAGCCCCUGGGUUGCCUCUCCGGAACUAGAGGUGACGUGGGAGGGCCGAGGACACUGGCAUGCAGGGUGCCACCACAUGACACCUUGUUUUUCCCAACAGUCCUGCACCAGACGCAAAGCACCCCCAAUGAAGGCAGCAAGUGCUCAGCAUUGCACACUUUAAAUGAACUGGCUUAGGGACACCUGACUAUUGCAUGAAUUUCUUGUAAGAAAGUCCAUGCUGCUUGUUUGCUCUUCAGAUACUGCGAGUCAGCAAAGGCCAGCAGACUGACCUCUCCAGGCUGCUCCCUCCCCUGCUGCAAAUCUGCAUACCUGUGCCGAGCCACGUCCACGGGCCAGGUGCGGAUUAAAUGACACUCCCCCGACUCACCACUUCCCAGCCAGUCAAACUUGAACGUGCAUUUUGGGGUAUUUUGACAGUUCAGUUUGAGCUGAGAUUUGGGGUGUUCCAAGUUUAUCUUAAAACUUUUAAAAGCAUCGGGCAUAGUGUUGCAUACCUAUAAACACAGCUACUUGAGAGACUGAAACAAGAGGAUUGCACACUCAAGGCCAGUCUGGGCAAACCGUAAAAGCUCCUUUCUCGAACUAAAAAAUUUGAAAAGUGACCUGGCAAUGUAGCCCAGUGGCAGAGUGCCCCUGGGUUCGAAGCCCAGUACUACAAAAACAACAACCAAAUAGAGGAACUGACCUUAUAGAGCAACUUACUAUCACAAAGAACAGAACUGGAGGUAGUUGCACAGCGAGACUAAAGGCCAGUUGCAUUUGAAGUUCAGGAGCUCUGCAGGCCCUGCAGCACAUCCUGUAAGUCAGGCCAGGGCUGGGUUCCAUCUAUGAACAGACAUAACUGACUCCUGAGCCCAGACCAGUGACAAGACAGCAUGAGCUUCCGGGUGGGGCUCGUCCCCAGGGCUCCUUGAGGACGCUCUGUCUCCCUGUUCUCUGGAUUCACAGAGCUGCACUGGAAGCGGGCAGGGCCUUUUCUGCUUGUCCCAAGCUUGGCGCUUUCGUUGGUUAGGGCUGUUAAAUCCAUAGUUAGAUGGAGCAGAUCAGAUCCAAUUGUGCCUUCCUCGGGGUCUGACCCAGAGUGGUGUGACUAGAGUAGGAUGGGCAGUGGGCCGGGCUGAGCAGGCCUGGACUUCCCCAGCUGUGGCGCUGUCCUGAUGCUAGUACUGAAGGAGCAGAGCACGCUGGGUGGCGCUCACUCCUGCUUCAGAAAUUACACUGGCUGCUGAGUGUGGACCAGCUUGGUGAAGACUAACUCUCCGUUAGCCAUCAUUUCCUUUUGUUUUAAAAUGUAAAGAUUUGUUUUAAGUUGGCAGAUAAUAAUUGUGUAUAUUUAUGGCGUACACUGUCUGGCUUGGUAUAUUUGGAGAUGGUGAUACCAAGCUGACUGGCAUACCCAUCACAUCACACACACUUAUCUUUUUGUGGUGAGGACAUUUAGAAUCUAUUCUGUUAGUGGUUUUGGCAUACAUUGUGAUUAACCACGGUCACCUGUUACGGUAGGUCUUGAAAACUUACUCUUUCUGUCUAACUGAAACUCCAUGCCUUUGACCAUAUCUCUCUGUUACGGCUGUGUCUAGAUGUCCCCACCAAAGUCUCAUGCAGUCACAGUGGGGCUUUUCAGAGGCGUGUGGACCAACACUGUAGCUCUGGGAUUCAUUCGUGGUGCAAUGCUAGGGGUAAAGGUGUGCGUGCUGCCAGCCCGAGUAGCCUGGGUAAGGUAUGAGGGGUGGAAACUGCAGUGUGGGCUCUCGCUUGCUCUGCUAGCUUCUUUCUGCCAUGAACUAUUGCCCCUACUGUGCCACCCUGCUGUGGAGCCAGCAACAGGGACUGACAUGUCUGUAAACUGGGAGCUGAACAAACCUUUCCUCUGUUAACUUUGGGAUCGGGUGUUUUGUCUCAGCAAGGAGAGAGAAGUAACUAAGAUGCCCGCUUCCUAUCUUCUCGUAACCAGCCUUCUAUUCUCAGCUUCUGAGCUCAGCUGCUUUACGUGCCCCGUGUAAGUGAGAAUAUGAGGCACUUGUUUUUCUGUUUUAGCUGAUUUCCCUUAGCCUAAUGUCCUCCAGGUCCAUGCUGGUUGCAAGUGAUGGGGUUUUCUUUUUUUCUAAGGCUGAAUAGGAUUCUGACCCGUAAUCUGUGUGUAUUUAUCCAUUCAUCCAAUGACGGCCACUAAGGCUGAUUGCAUAUCCCGGCUAAUAUGAAUGGUGCUGCACUAACACUGAGGCGCAGGUGUCUUUUCAGCACACUGCUUUCAGUUCUUCUGGAUCUGUGCCUGGAAGCGGAACUGUUGGAUCACAUGAGAGUUCUAGUUUUUAGUUUUUUGGGAAUGUCCACCCUUUUUUCCACAAUGCCUGUAUCAUUGUGUAGUAUGUUAGACAUUUAGGCAUUUUAGACAUUGCUAGGUUUGAUUUGCUUUUGAUUUAUUGAGACCGUUUUACAUUUAAAUUCAUAGAAAGUAUUCCUCUAUAGUUUUUGGUACCAUCUUUCUUGAAUUUUGAUAUCAAGAUAAUAUUGGCCAUGUAAAAUGAGUUGGAAAAUUUUUCCAUCCUUUCUGUUUUUUGUAAAAGAUUAUAAUUUGGGGGAUGGAGGAGUAGGGUCUUACUAAAAAACGCCUGCUUUGUUUUCUUGUUAUCUUGCUUGAGGCUUAUCAAUUGUACUGAUUUUUUGAAUUCAAAACUGUGUUAAUCACUUUUCAUUGCUAUGACAAAACAUUUGAGUUAAUCAGCUUAAUAAGGGAGAUAUGUAUUUUGACUCGUCACUUGGGAAGUUUUGAUCCAUGAUUGGUUGGCACUGUCGAGUUUGGGCCUGUGGUAAGGCAGCUGUUCACUUAAUGGCAACCAGAAAGUAAUAAGAGAAAGAGGAAGAGCCACAGUCUCAUCUCCUUCAAGGCCACACCCCCAGAGGCCUGAAGACCUGUGAGGCCCUGGCUCUUAAGGGUUCCAUCACCUCCCAACAGCACCAAGCUGAAACUGAGCCUUUAACACUUGGGCCUUGGGGAAAUUUGAGGUCUAAUUUGUAACAAAAUUUGUUUACUUUAUUGACUUUUCUCUAUUUUUUUCCCUGUUUUCCAUCUUACUAAAACUGGAGGGCAUAUUUGAAUACUUUUACAGCAAGCAUCCAAGAGAAAUUCUAAAAAAAAAAAAAAAAAGGCAGCGGCAGGGUGAUGGUGCCCUAUAGGUGUUCCGCUGUGUGCUUCUCAAGGGGUCAGCAGACCUGGAUCAGAGGGAGGUGGUGCUGGGAGGAAGAAGCUCUGUCCUGUCUCUGGGUGCUCCGGCCCUGGCCCACAGUCUUGUCCAUUCCUUGAUGGUCUCCAUACAGCCCUGUUAGCACUUAGACUUUCUGGAGCAGAAUAAGCGCACAGUAUCCAUAGGAAUGAAGGUGCUAGGGUCUUCUGCAUUGUCUCACAGAUGUUCUCUGCACUUCUUCCUCUUGCAGUUUGGCUUUAGACUUGGGACAGAUCAUCCCUGUGUGAACUGGGCAAUGCUGCAUGGCAUGGCUAGCUGUAGUCUAGUAAGACUUACUUCCUAACGGAGGCAGAGUCACUGGGUGACGACAUCCUGUUGGCUGGGAAUGUGAUUUCAAGUUCAUGGGAAGUUGUGUCUUGAUUAAAAGCUCUGGCUAAACAACAGUUGAGUUUAUUGCUCAUGCAUUCUUAUCCAGUUGGGGCAAGGUAAGUGAGGAGACAGGCAUGGAGCCAUUAGAAAGUUCUCAGCCUGUUGGCAUGUUUUGGUGAUGAGCUUUAGAAACUGCUUACCUCAAGUUUUAUCCAUCCAUGUAAGAGACACAAUUCCUAAAAGAGUUCUGUAAGGGCAAAGAAAAAGUUUCCCUUUUGCUCUGGAUAGGUUUGCUGAAGUGAACUGACAAUAGACAUAUUGACAGCAGAUAAGGCGUACAACAUACUAACAUGCACGAGGGCCCCAUAGAGCAGAGAGCACAUAGUAUUCCACAGUACUCCAUGAGACGAUUGUAUACCCUUCACCCAGUGGGAGAGAGAGAUGGGAAAAUACCGAUCAGUUUUGAGGGGUAGUGAAUUGUGUUUAGGGGAGAAGGGUGGCCUGAGAGACAGACAGCGACUUGUAAAUAAUUUUCUGUAGAACUUGAGUGGGCCCAGGAGAUGGAGAACAGCUGUGACAAAGUCUGUCCAGGUCUGGUGUCACUCUCAGUCUUCCUUCCUAUCAUGCAAGCUCAGUUUAAUGAAGACUCAGGGAGGGAGAGACAUUUGUUUCCUUUUUGGCAAGCACUGCCUUGAACAGGGUCAGGGAGUAUCACCAAAGAGCCUGACCAAGCGUUUGCUGAUUGGAGGGCUCAUAGUUAAAGGUAACCAGCUUCCAGGAGACUGCCCUGUGGGGAGGGCAGUGUUCCGGCCCCCUCCUCCCUGAGUUGCAGAAUCGGUUCCUGGCUUAUGACCUGGGAGGUGUGAGCUGCAGCAUCUGGAUGGGGCGCUUGGGACUGCGGAAGUUCGUCACCAGACUUCGUUUCAGUUGUGCAUGCCGGCUGUUGGGAGGAGCUGAUCCAGCUAAUGCAGGAACCUCAAAGACCGUGCCAUCUGUUCACUGACCAAGCUUCCUGUGGCAAGUUUCUGGCCUUUUGUUGAGUCACUGACUCAAGGAUGCUGCAGGAAUCAGGACGCAGCAGAGCUGACCGAGGAGAACUGGCUUCCUGCCCGUCACCUCAGUGUUUGUGGCACUUCAGAGUUUGUGAGGAGUACUGUACUUUCUGUUUUGAUGAUUUUCAGACAUUUUCAGAUUGGUCAGGCCUUAACACCAGGCAAGGCAUGUUAUUUUCUAUUUUAACACAUUAAGAAACCUCCCAAGCCCAGUGCUGUGGUGCACAUUUGUGAUCCCAGCACUGGCGAGGCUGAAGCAGGACAGUGGUGAAUUCGAGGCCAGCCUAGGCUAGCAAGACCCUGUCUCAAACAAAACAAACAAGAGAAAGGGAAGUGGCUUGGUCUGCCACAUCCCAGUAGACAGUUCAUGCCUGUGCGUGUCUCAGGGUCACUCCCUGACGUGGAAAAGAUGACGAGGAGACGGCAGGGUUAAAUGAGAUCUGUGUGCAGCGGGCUUGUCUGUGCAGCCUGGCUCAUGAGGACGUUAUCUCCAGAGCCCUUCCAUCUUCUCGUGGGUAGUGGCUAUCCCAGCAACUCCAUGCUGCAGUACCAUGGCCCCAGUGGAGAGCUGGUUAGAAAUACGGCCUUCCAGGUCCUUCCCCAGUCCUGCAGGCCAGACACUGUGCUGUCCUGAGCCAGGAGCCUCUGGCCUGCAGCAGGGCGGCUCUUCCCUGAGGCUGGCCUUGGAGUCUUGCUGUAUUAGUUUCUACUGUUUCAAGAUAAAUCCUUUUGGAGGGAUACAUUUGACCAUCCCCCAGUCAACCCACAUAUUCUAAUUAACAGCACGUCUCUUAGUUGAAUUGGAAGCAUUUUUCUUCUUUAAUGGAACAUUAAUUAAUUUAGCUUUUAGCUGAUAGAGUCUUAUCUAGUGAGAUACAGCAUAUUCACUCGCUGCCUUCUGCCUUUGCACUGUUCCCAGCCAGCAGAUAUCUAUCUGUCGCCCUGGACUCCAGCUCCUGAGAGACGCACGUGUGGCACUGUCUAGUAUGCACUGAGGUGGGAACUCACUGUCAUGAUAGCACUCUGGCGACCAGUCCUCGGUUCAGACCUGGAAUUUGUUCCUCCCUGCAUUGUGUUGGACUGCUUCCGGAGAGGACAUGUCUAAGAGAAGUGGAGGUGGCCCUCUGUGUAAUCCCCUCUCCUGGCCCGUGACUGGGGCCAUCCACACAAGCCCAGAGCAUCCUUCCUGUUCUCUGAGUGUGAUGGAAG